rnacentral:tRNA from 1 species
UAGCUCAGUUGGUAGAGCAUGGUGUUUGCAAUGCCAGGGUUGUGGGAUCGAUUCCCAC